rnacentral:lncRNA from 1 species
UCGUGUGCUGUCAGAGCUAGGGGUGUUCACGGUUCGGUUCGGUUCGGUUCAGACCCAAAAAACCAACCGAACCGAAUUACAUUAAUUUUGUGAAAUAUUAACCGAACCGGACCGAAAACCGGUUCAGACCGAACUGGUCCGGUUCGGUUAAAUCCGGUUUUUUGGAAAAAAAACCGAGAAACCUAAUCCUAUCAUUCGGAUUUUGCAUAUGGCAAGGAGAAAACACAGGCACAGCCGCACAGAAAGAAGAUAGAUUUUACAGCCCUUUUGCAUGAAAGGCACAGAGAAGUUCAAGACAGAAACUUCCUUGAUGGAGCUAGAUGAAAGAUAAUUAUCUUUAAUAUCAAAAACAACUCCUCCAUGGUUUCCAUUGCCAUUAAUCCCAUCGAUCUCAGCCAUUACCACGAAUACAGCUAAGAAUGAAAAGGGAGGAAAGAUAAGAAAAAGAAAAAGAUACAAGUAACAAAGAUGCGCAAAGAUAUUGUCUUUGUGGUAGCUUUGUUCUUCUCCUAUGGAGUAUAUAUAACAAGUACAAGCUUCUGUAAAUUUUCAAGUUACAGAGGCUUAUAAUCUUUGAAUGUGUACGUGAUGUUGAAAGUUGUGACCUUCACAUUGAAAGCUCAUUCAACAACCCACUGGAAAGGAAGAUUGGGAGUGGGUUGAAAGGAAGAUUGGGAAACUAGGAAAGGAAGAAUGAAAAUUAAUUGAGAGGAAGAUUGAGAAUUUUUUUGGAGCAGGCGGCGGCUUUUGUGAGAGGCAG